GACAGAGGUGCCAAGCGUUAGGCGGAAUCACUGGGCUUAAAGCGUGUGUAGGUGGAUGUCUAAGUACCUUGUGAAAUCCCAUGGCUCAACCAUGGAACUGCUUGGUAUACUGGACGUCUUGAGCCACUUAGGGGCUACCGGAACAAAUGGUGGAGCGGUGAAAUGCGUAGAUAUCAUUUGGAACGCCAAUGGUGAAAACAGGUAGCUGGGAGUGUGCUGACACUGAGACACGAAAGCCAGGGGAGCAAACGGG
rnacentral:rRNA from 1 species